UAACCUUCACAUCCUCAUAUUUACACCUGUCCAUAUAUGACAUUAGAAUAGCAUGCUGCGUACUACUUCCCGUACUACCGGUACCUUUUCUAGUACUCACAUAUUGUACAACUUUACACACCAAGAUAAAAUAACAAGGAUGACAGCCCUUCAGGGUUAGUUGUCGGUUAGCCGGACAAGAGUGGGUUGUUGGUGUGUCCUCCCCUAGGCCCUUCACAGAAACAUAGAAGAGAUCAAGCAGAUGGAAUCAAGAGGCAGCAAGAAGGAGACCAAAACGUAUUUGAUGGUGAGCCCAAUGGUGACCCGGACGCCUUGAUCAACGUUGGUAUCGCUAUGGACGUAGUCGAUCAAAAGCACGAAGCCGCAGCAGCUGCAGCAUCGAACGACUAAAGGCCACUAGCGGAGUAUUGCCAGGACCUACCGGCCUGCUCAAAUCUCACUGCAAGUGCUGCAUGCAACAAGCCUGCGUAACCUUGGUAACUGUCGCCCUGAUCACCCAGCAAGGCCAGCCAAGGCCAAUGGACCGGGCUGCAAGCAGAUCACUAUUGACUUCUGUACUGUGCUCUAGACUAGCGUGACAAUGCUGUAGUCCACCCCGGCACUGGCUUCUGUAUAUAACUCUGUAAGGUGUUCGCAAGGCACCAGCCAUUAUUAUCACAUGCUGCAUUCGACCAUAAUAAUGCACAUUGAAAUUUGUUUGCACUAUGCCUGUGAAGCAUGCAUAACAGAUUCUAAAUCGUAUUCUCUUUAUUUUAAGUCGACAAUGAGAUGGUAAAAAUGAUAAUUGGCUUGUGAGCAACACUGGCUCACACUCAAUCA